CAAUGUGAGAUACGUGUCAACUUGUCGCACGCGUGAGAUAUCCGGGCCAUACUUUAGCUGGGCGAUGCAGUAGCCCAAAAAUCAGGCUGGUCCACACUUAUCAGAUGGGUGUCAUUUGCACGUUGGGCUUAUACCAGCAUGGUUGACAAGAGUAUCACACUAGAACCUCAUUCCUGGAAGCUUCCCCAUGGAGUAUGUGGUACCCCUUUUUGGUGUAGAUCGAGAAGUGUUGUCAUGGUUGCAUUUCAAACUGUUGCAUAUAUUCCACGCGAACAAUAGCUGGUAGUUUGGCAAGGAUGGGAAAGUGGAGGGGAAGGUAAUACAAUUUUCUUGGCCAUGAAUGACAUCCAUUCUCAGGUGAAAGGUAAUAGAGAACAUGGCCCAUAGCAGUCUCCAAGUUUGAGGUAUUUCUUGUAUCAAGCUUCUAUGGUUGGGUGCACAGUCAUGGAUGAGUUGGGCAUUGGCUACAUUUGAGCAGAUAACCUUAUCCUCAUGGUUUUAGACAUGGUGAUUUGGGUGAGUAUUUUUUUUUUUUUUUUUGUACAGCAUCUUGGUGGUAUACCUAUGCAGGGAUUUUGCGAGGUCAGUUCAAGGGAUCAGGCUCCCUCUCCCCCGAUUGAUGCACAUUUUUCCUUAUCAUCAAUGAAUUACAGGUGGUGUGCUCUUCCUUAUAUUCUAUGAUGAACAUACAAGAAAAUACGCUUUGGGUUUGUCCUAUAUCCUUGGCUUUCAUCUCAUGAGGUAGCGUUCUCCAAGUCUGAGG